AUGGCUAUACCACAUUGAAGUACUGGUUUUCAUAUGAUCACCAAAGUUAAGCAAUGUUGAGCUGGUUAAUACCUAGAUAGGUGACCAUUUGGGAAUACCAGAAACUGUAA